GACGAACGCUGGCGGCGUGCUUAACACAUGCAAGUCGAGCGGUAAGGCCCUUUCGGGGGUACACGAGCGGCGAACGGGUGAGUAACACGUGGGUGACCUGCCCUCAGCCCUGGGAUAAGCCUGGGAAACCGGGUCUAAUACUGGAUAUGACCCCAUGACGCAUGUUGUGGGGUGGAAAGCCUUGUGCGGCUGAGGAUGGGCCCGCGGCCUAUCAGCUUGUUGGUGGGGUGAUGGCCACCAAGGCGACGACGGGUAGCCGGCCUGAGAGGGCGACCGGCCACACUGGGACUGAGACACGGCCCAGACUCCUACGGGAGGCAGCAGUGGGGAAUCUUGCGCAAUGGGCGAAAGCCUGACGCAGCGACGCCGCGUGAGGGAUGACGGCCU
rnacentral:rRNA from 1 species